CAAGUAUUUUAUUGUCAGAUGCACAGAACAACACAAGGUCAGAUGGGCACUGAAAUUCACAACAACGCAAAAGAACCUGGCAUGACAUAACAUAGAGGUACUCAGAACAUAGAUUACAUCUAUGAUAAGCUAAAAUAUAAUUAACCUCCUAAGUAUACAAAAUAGUAUACAAUAUACAAUACAGUAUACUAAACCUCUUAUACACAUACAAUGUGAAGGGCCUAAAGUGUCAGUUUGUCUGUUAUCACACCUACAAGCAAUGACUGUUCUGACCCCAGCGAGAUCCUCCCAGUAUUAUCUGACUAGAGGCAAAAAAGCAAGUAAGACAGCUUUCUGAUAAACAAAAGGUGACAAUUUGUCCUGUGUUCCUACACUCCUCCAUGUAACUUUCUCUCACUCCUAGAGGUGUGGGUCUCUCAACUCCAUUUACAAUAGACACAACCCAAAUCAUGUCAGGACAAAAGCAUUCCCAACAAGCCUACACAGCACCUACAAACAGGUUGAGGGACGUGGCCUGUUUUCCAGGGACUGAAGAAGAAUGUCACUCGUAUCUCUACAAUCUUUGAAGUGUUUCUGUUGAUGGUGGACUAAAGAGCGCUGAGGGACAAUCAUGCCAUGCGAAGAAAUAUCAACAAAACAUCUGAACAGUAUGAGGAAGUACAACAAUGGCUGCUCAAGGACUUCAACCCACCUCUUUUGUGAUCCACAUCAACGUUCAAAAGACGAGAGAAGGUUUCAUUGACUGGCGGAA